UUGAAGAUUGGUUACUUCUCAGACGGUACUGCUUCACUCCAGUGGUUUUGUGUGGUCUCUUUUCUAGUCUCGAGGCCAAGGGUGGGCGCCUCUUGCGAGGGCUCGCCGCCCAGCGGGCCCGGGGGCCGUGGGGGCGAAUCUUGGUAAUGAUCCUUCCGCAGGUUCACCUACGGAAA
rnacentral:misc_RNA from 1 species